UACGAAGGGGUCUAGCGUUGUUCGGAAUUACUGGGCGUAAAGCGCACGUAGGCGGAUCGAUCAGUCAGGGGUGAAAUCCCAGAGCUCAACUCUGGAACUGCCUUUGAUACUGUCGGUCUAGAGUAUGGAAGAGGUGAGUGGAAUUCCGAGUGUAGAGGUGAAAUUCGUAGAUAUUCGGAGGAACACCAGUGGCGAAGGCGACUACCUGGACCAGCACUGACACUGAGGCACGAAAGCGUGGGGAGCAAACAGG
rnacentral:rRNA from 1 species